GGCAGUGUAGCACAGUGGUAAGGAGCAAGACUCACAACCGAGAGGUUGCCAGUUCAAUUCCCUGCUGGGCCACUGCCG